rnacentral:lncRNA from 1 species
AAGAUUUGAAAAGUUUGUCAUAGUACUCAGCUAUCUGAGCUGCAAUAUGUUCCUUUUCAUGGAAAAUCUUCCCUUCUGCAUCCUCUAUGACAGAGAUGCGGUUGCGCGCUUUCUUUCCUGUCGGAACUGCGUGAAAGAACUGAGUGUUUUUAUCACCAGAAGCUAGCCAGAUAAUUCUGCUUCGUUGUCGCCAAAAAUCCUCUUCUGC